AAAUAGAAUUGAAAAUCUUUCCCCCAAUCCAAAUCUUCAUCUUCUUCAAAACAAUACACCCUACCCAUCCUUUAUCUUCUCCAAUACCCCCACCCUCCAAAUCAAAUCAAAAUUAGAAAAUCAUUGAACCAUAGCCAGCCCUUCAAGUAGCAAAUCAGUCAAGCUGAGAGGGGAAACCAAAAAACCUACUGCUCGUUUCAGCAUUUAAAGCUUGGCUCUGCUCAUGCUCUCACUUACAUCAAGAACAGUAACCAAUCAAUAGGCAUAUGUCGCGUCAGGUACAGGACAUGGGUCAGUGGUGUAAAGGCAAUAUAGGAGCUUUAACCCUCAAAACGAUGGUGUACGUACCUCAACCAAUAAAGGCAUAUGUCGCUGAAAUAACAACAACCUCAACCAAUAAAAUUACCUCCAUAUCAUCUUUGUGUUGUAGUUUCUGGAUAUUGGCUAGUAAAGGGAUAUCUUUCCAUGUGAUCAACGGUGGUCGGAUGCGUUUUUGGUUUUGAUUUGGGUUGGGGAUUGGAUGUUUUGAAAAAGACGAAGAUUUGAGGUAGGGUGGGGGUGGCGACUGAGGCAUGGGAACGGGCCUUUUACUUUUAAUUUAAUUGUUAAUAUUUGUGAAAAUGUAAAUUUAACAUUUUUACCCUUUUACAAUUUGUCAAAGGAUUAAACCA